rnacentral:piRNA from 1 species
UUACUAAAAGUGGCAGGACUUAGAAA